CGCUGAGGGGAGGUGAGCGCGGAGGCCGCUGCGGUGGAAGGCGAGGAAGGCGUGUGGGAGGAAGCGGUGCGGGAAGCAGAGGUCUGUGGGACGGUAAAACGCGGAGCCCCGCUGUAGAGGCGGAGAUGCAAGGCAGAGUCUGGCUCCAACAGUCACCAAGCGCUUACCCCUUCUGGCAUAUGGUGGGGUGUCCUCUGUGGUACCUUGUUGGUGUAUUGGUGCAGUCAGCCUAGCAGACAGGCAGCUGGAUAGCCCACCCAUGCUAUGGAAUAUCUGAAGCAGCACAUCAGAGGUAAAGGAGGGGAAAUGAACUGGAGCAAACCUUUUGCUUGCUAGUGAUGAGAUACGGUAUUGACAUGCUGUCACAGCCCAAGACUGCGAAUGACUGGGUACAACUAUAGUGCUUCUGAAAAGAAAAUUCUGGUAAUACUGGUCAGAUCAAAAUGGAAAAAGGAUGACAGUCAUGAGGUGGAACAAAACAUGCCAUGGGAAAAUGAAUUGACCUGCUAUGAUGACUCACAUCUGGCUACCUAAUCUGAAGCAUGGUCUUUGAACCUUGUGAAAAGUGGAGGAAACAGAUGCUAGAAACAAAUGCAGGCAUCGGGGUAAAGAAAGGAUGCACCAAAAUGCAAGCCUGAAAGAGAGCCACGCACAGCCAGUGUUAUCAGAGUUACAGAAGCAUGAAGGAUUCUGUCGGUACACAAUUGCUUAGUCUUUGCUUUUUACUUUAUGAAAUUGAUUUGCUGUCCUAGAGCGAUUCCAAGGGCAACUGAAUGUCAGUUAUGCUUUGUCACUGUCAAAUUCCUAGCUAAGUAUUUUGUAGGCAGUGUCCACAAUUUUAGCUGAUUGCGAAAGUG